rnacentral:rRNA from 1 species
CUACGGAGGGUGCAAGCGUUACUCGGAAUCACUGGGCGUAAAGCGCGCGCAGGCGGCUAUUUAAGUUGGAUGUGAAAGCCUACGGCUCAACCGUAGAACUGCAUCCAAAACUAUUAGACUAGAGUGUGGGAGAGGAAGAUGGAAUUAGUUGUGUAGGGGUAAAAUCCGUAGAGAUAACUAGGAAUACCAAAAGCGAAGGCAAUCUUCUGGAACACUACUGACGCUGAGGCGCGAAAGCGUGGGGAGCAAACAGGAUUAGAUACCCUAGUAGUCC